CUCUCCCGGAACGGUCACUCUAGCGGCCACCUCUGAACAACAACAGCACGCGUCGCGUCUCUCCGCCUUUCUCCUUUUUUUUUUACACCACACUCUCCUGGCAUUUGCUCACGAUUCCGUGUCGCGCGUGAUUGAAUCGGCAGGCCAGAAAACCCAGUGUGCGCGCAGUGUCAACAAACACAAGUUAAAACCCCCGGACAACGCAACCACAUACAAAUUCCAAAAGGCGGAAGCAGACGCCAGCGACCAGAGGCAGGACUUUCGCAGCGAGCGAGAAAAGGAUCGAGAGAGCGGAUCAACGGGAAACAGGGCGACAUGUGGAGUCCGACGCACUGCAGUGUAACGGUGCAGCGAGCGCGGGGCCUGCUCACCAAGGGCAAGAAUGGCACCAACAACUGCUUCGUCACCAUUGCGCUGGGCAAGGAGAAGUACCAGACGUCCGUCAAGGACAAGGCCGAGACGAGCGUCAACUGGAACGAGGAGUGCGAGCUCAAAAUCCCCGACCAGGGCAACCGCGCCGAGCUCACCCUGACCUGUCUGCACCGGAACAAUCUGGGCAUCGAUGAGUUCCUGGGCCAGGCCUCGCUGCCCCUCAACGAGAUGGACGUGUACGACCGGCCGCGCGCCAAGUGGUUCAAGCUGGAGAGCAAGCCCGGCAAGGAGAAGAAGAACAAGGAGCGCGGCGAGCUGGAGGUGCGCAUCGCCUUCGUGGUCAAGUCCGGCUCGCUGACCGACCUCAGCAAGAAGGACAAGCACAAGUCUUCCAUUGGCCAGCUGGCCAGUUCCGUGGGCGGCAGCCUGCUGUCCAUCGGCAACGGCGAGAAGCGGCGCAGCAUCAGGAAGCUGGCCGGGUCGAUUAGCUCCAAGCUGCACCUCGGCGGCAAGAAGAAGCACCCGGAGGCGGGGGCCGAUGACGGCAGCUCCUUCGGCGGCUCGUUCGCCAGCCUGGGCACACCCAACAGCUCCAACGGCAGGGGCCAGAACGGCGGCAGUGGGCGACGACGGGGCGGCCAGCGGGCGGGCGAGGCCGAUCCCGGCGUGAUCAGCGAGGACGAGGACGAGUUCGUGUUCGACAACCUCUCACACAAGAGCUCAGGCAGCUCGCUCAACAUCCAGCGCACCGGCCUCCAGCCGCCGCCAGUGGGAACGCCCAACUUCGCGCCGCGCCACCCAUCGCCCCUGCUGAACAACGGACUGGCCGGCGUCGGAAGCGGCAGCGGGAAAGGUAAGCCAGCGGUUUUGCCAGCGACGCUCGAUGAGGAUGCGCCCAUCGACGCGGAGAUGGAACAGCUUGAGCUCGAUUUCAGUGUCCGUGCCCACGCCCGCGCCAACGCCAGCGGAAGCGGAAGCGCCAGCACCCUGCCGCCCCCCUCGAAGCCGCCGCGCAUCCCUCUGUCGCAGGACGAGCAGCCGGCUGCUGGAAGUUUGGAGCGGGAGAAGCCCAAGGAGAAGCCAGCCGAGCUGGAGAACGCCAAAGAUGAGUGGGCGACCAAGUUGUAUGGCAGUGGCAAGUAUCUGGAGAUCGGUAGCAGUGACUCCUUGAAGCGCCGCAGCUGGGAGGAUCGGGUUCCCCUGGCGGCCAGUGUCGAGGAGCCGCCGCCAGGGCCCUCUUCCAGCUCUUCGUCCAGUUCCAGCUCGGACAGCGAAGACGACGACGAGCACCCACCGCAGACAGCUCCACCACCAGUGCCUGUGCCUGUCUCUCUCCCUGUUCCGUCCGCUGCUGCUGAGCCAGUGGUGGCCACCUCCACCUCGCUCUUCUCCCCCGAGUCAGAGCACCGCAACUUUGAUACGUUCAACGCCAGCUUCGCUAAGUUUGAGCAGCGCAACAGCACGGCCAUCUUUGCAGAUGAGCCCGAGUUGGAAGACCUGACCGUGGAGCUGGAGAAGCCGGCGCCCACACCCACAGCACGCCCCAAGCCACAGCCUCGUGCCUCGGCCGAUCUGAGGGCAGAGGAGGAAAAGGCCAAGGAGGAGGCUGCACGGCAACUGCGCGCCGAGGAAGACGCGCGCUUGGAGGCGGAGCUGCGCCUGAACGAAGAGCGUCUGCGCGAGGAGGAGGCGGCCAUGCAGAGAGAGCUGGAGGAGGAGAAGGAGCGCCAAAAGCAGCUGCAGCUGGAUGAGCAACAGAGGCGCGAGGCCAAGCGUAGGGAGGAAGACCAAAGGCUCCUAAGUUUCGCCACACGAUCCACUUCUCAAGAGGAGACCGCUCCAGAGAAAGAGGAGCUGAAGCAUGACGGGGAGCUUGUGCCGAAGCCGGAGCCAGAAGUUGAGUCAACAGAGCCGGAGCACAACUUCCUAACGCCCGAGCAGUCGCCCAAGGAGUUCCAGACGAACGGCAGUGGCAGUGGAAGCGGAGAGCGCUGGGAAAAGCGGCUGGGCAAGUUCAAAUACGGCAACAAGCGAGAUAAAUACAACAACGACAACGAGAGCAACUCGCCUAGUCCCAAGUCCACGGAGCGCAUAAUUAUUGGCCACGAGAAGUCGGGAUCCCACGCGGAGCGGCGCUCCGAGAUAUCCGCCCAGCUGGCCAAGAAGUACGAGGGCAAGUCCCGGGAGGAACUGAUGCUGAUUGCCAACGGAAUGGAGAACGAGGCUCUGCUGCAGCGGCAGCGCGUGAAGGAGUUGGAGGACUACCUGGACAACCUGCUGCUGCGCGUGAUGGAGACGCACCCGAAGAUCUUGCAGAACCCCUAUUCGCGCACCACGUCCGCCAAGAGUUAUAAAAAUUACAUCAAUAUGAAUGACUUUCUAAAGUAAGUGCUCCGCGCAUGUUGCAACUUGCAUUUAAGUAGACACUUAACCAACAAUCCCCCAACAACUACAACAUCACCACCAACACCACAACCCCCGACUACAACAACAACUGCGAGACACGAGUAACAAGAACUGAGGCGACUCUGGCUGAGAAGAGAAGGAACACCCACGGCGGGAUCGAACGGCUAACUGCAGCCAAACGGUCGUCGCCACCAACCGGUCCACUUGUCCCAGAACGGCUGGAGGAGAUGUGCGGAGCCUCGGGUGCAAUUCAAGUGACCGAAUCGAAACACUAACCCAACACCAUGUUGCCUUUGUCGUGAACACCGAAAUUCAAGUGCUUUCUAAACCGUAUUGCUAAGAAGGGGGAAACUAAUGAACACAGAGCCUACCUGCUGAGGAGUGCUACAUUUUUAUUGAUAUUUUCGAAGCAUUCGUCGUUUUAUGUUUGCCCCCACUAAACCGAACUAAAUUAAUUGUACUAUAACUACCAUGUUGGGCCUGGCAACGCUAGGCCCUUGAUUGCCCGAUUCGAGUCCUUGUCGAUUGAUUGAAAUUAUCCAAGAGUAUUUUGUUUAUUUUUUUGUAUGUCCGUUUUUUGUAACAUUGUGCAAAGAGUUUUCAAAUUUUUGUAAAGUGCUGCGAGGGAAGUGGCCUUAGUGGAAUAAGUUUUAAAUUAUUUAUGUUUAGCAACUAAGCGAGAGGGGGGAAGGGGGGCCCACCCGGCUCCCCCGCAAAAACACCACACACAGUUGAAAUAUGUUGAUACUACAAUGAUUUUACUUAUUGAUAUACACGCAAACGGAAUAAAACCAUUUUUAACAUUAA